rnacentral:tRNA from 2 species
GGGCAGAUGGUCGAGUGGUUAAGACGGCAGACUUAAGUUUAACUAGAUCUCUGCUGGCGAAAGCUGUCGUGGGUUCGAACCCCACUCUGCUCA